rnacentral:rRNA from 1 species
UACGGGGGGAGCAAGCGUUGUUCGGAUUUACUGGGCGUAAAGGGCGCGUAGGCGGCCACCGCAAGUCGACUGUGAAAUCUCCGGGCUUAACCCGGAAGGUCAGCCGAUACUGCGGGGCUAGAGUGCAGAAGGGGCAACUGGGAAUUCUCGGUGUAGCGGUGAAAUGCGUAGAUAUCGAGAGGAACACCUGCGGCGAAGGCGGGUGCUGGGCUGACACUGACGCUGAUGCGCGAAAGCUAGGGGAGCGAACGGG